AGAAAAUGGGACAAGCUCUGGGUUGUAUUCAAGUGGACCAGUCAACUGUAGCUGUCAAGGAAACCUUUGGGAAGUUCAAUGAGGUGCUUGAACCUGGUUGUCACUGUUUGCCUUGGUGUUUGGGGAGCCAGCUAGCAGGUCAUCUUUCGUUACGUGUGCAGCAGCUGGAUGUUCGAUGUGAAACUAAAACCAAGGAUAACGUGUUUGUUAAUGUGGUUGCUUCUAUUCAAUACCGGGCACUGGCAGAAAAGGCUGCAGAUGCUUUCUAUAAGCUCAGCAAUACCAGAGCACAGAUCCAAGCCUAUGUCUUUGAUGUUAUUAGGGCAAGUGUUCCAAAGUUGGA
rnacentral:misc_RNA from 1 species